rnacentral:snoRNA from 1 species
ACUGCCCCUAGAGGCUUUGCAGGAGUGGCUUCUGUAUCACCUGUGCUUCGGGAGGUGGCACCGAAGAGGGAGGCUUUCUCUAAGCUCAGUGUCCUGACCUGUGAACAUCUGAAUGAUUAGUCGCCUAAC